AGCAGCCGCGGUAAUUCCAGCUCCAAUAGCGUAUAUUAAAGUUGUUGCAGUUAAAAGCUCGUAGUUGAAUUUCGGGAUCAAUUAAUUGGUCGUGCCUCUGGUACGUACUGGUUUUAUUGGUUUCUCCCUUCUGACGAACCAUGAUGUCAUUAAUUUGGUGUCGUGGAGAAUCAGGACUGUUACUUUGAAAAAUUAGAGUGUUUAAAGCAAGCUAACGCUUGAAUACAUUAGCAUGGAAUAAUGAAAUAGGACGUUUGAUCCUAUUUUGUUGGUUUCUAGGAUCGACGUAAUGAUUAAUAGGGAUAGUUGGGGGCAUUAGUAUUCAAUUGUCAGAGGUGAAAUUCUUGGAUUUAUUGAAGACUAACUACUGCGAAAAGCAUUUGCCAAGGAUGUUUUCAUUAAUCAAGAACGAAAGUUAGGGAUCGAAGACGAUCAGAUACCGUCGUAGUCUUAACCAUAAACUAUGCCGACUAGGGAUCGGAUGAUGUUAAUUUUUUAAUGACUCAUUCGGCGCCUUAAC
rnacentral:misc_RNA from 1 species